GUAAAACAUGUUGAAUUAUAAAGUGUGUUAAAAUGUAUGUGUUAAAUAUUUUGGAAUUCAAUAAAAGGAGUUUUAAAAAACUGUAUCUCACCCGUAACUAUGUGAAACGGUAUUUCACAUCUUCAGCCAACUCGGUCGCGAAGAAAAAGACAUUGAAAAUCAGGGUGCGUGCAUGAGUGUGCGUGUGAAGGAGCAGCAGGAGUGUGUGUGUGCGUUUCAAAAAACAAAGGGUUUGUUUGUGUGGGUUCAACAUGGGGUCCCAUCUGUAGAGAAUCGUUUGAAAUCCCAAAGUUUGAACUAUCCAGCAUAUGGCCUGUCAAGGUAUCGGCCGACCGCCCGGGGUUAAACCAGGAUAUCUAAUCAACGCCCCCCCAGGACCCCCCAAACAAAACGCAUGACAGAACGGUUCUUUGAAUUCACAGCCUUUUGGUCUAAAGCAAACAUACAGUUGGUUGCAUACAGGCUAUCUCUCGAAACUCAUUCCGUACUUUAACAAGUUAGGGACAGAACGUCUAUUUUUAACAAGUUUAGCACGGCUUUAGCGCAAACCCAAAGGCCCGAAUAUUUAACUGCCAGGACAGAUAGCAUAGGCUGUAAAGCCCUCCUAAUGGAUAUUUCUGGAGGUGAGUAAAUGAGAAAUAUAGUUUAAGAUUUGUUUGAAUAUUAUUGUAAUAACAAACCCCCGAGUUAUUUGGGUAUUUCAGACCAAAGGCCAAUAUGUGUUAAAAAGUGUAUAUAUAUCGUAUAACGGUUAAUAUUGUCUAACGGUGGCUAGAGUCCCAAACCUUUACGCAGCUUUUACACGGUUUACCUGAUCUGGAACAACAUGAGGGGGAUACACACUCUCAAAAAUCAGGCAGUCAGUCGCCAUCAGACUUUUUUCGUUUCGACAUACCGCCAAGAAUGAUAAAGGAUUCGUUAUGGACAGCGGACACGAGUGACAUGGAUGCAAUUCUACCGUUCUGUACGCGCGUUUUUUCAAACUCACCGGGAACGUCCACCCCCUCACGACAUAUUCCAGACCCCAACAGGCAACGCACAACUGUGGCCCAAGUACAUUGCUCAGAUUCAACCCCACCCGAAAAGUACGGCUGGGCCGGGAACUUGAGGCUUCGCGAGCAGGCGCUCCAAGGACAUGACUGCCCGGAGACAGACCCUGCAGAAUCGGGAACGCUAGCUGAAAAAAGCCCAGAGCCCUCGGUAUCAGCAAUUCGUCAGAACAAG